rnacentral:rRNA from 1 species
GAUUUCUGGCUUGAUACAUUUUGCCGGCCACGGUUUCGUGUGUUAGUGCAUUAUGUUCUGGCCAUCCUUCCAAUUGCUACUUACUUUUCUUCAUUGAUUUGUAAGUGGUAUUGGAUCUUUUACUUUGAAAAAAUUAGAGUGUUUCAAGCAGGCUUUAUGCUAUGAAUACAUUAGCAUGGAAUAAUAAUUUAGGACUUCGGUUCUAUUUUGUUGGUUUCCAGGACUGAAGUAAUGAUUGAUAGGGAUAGUUGGGGGUGCUAGUAUUCAGCGGCCAGAGGUGAAAUUCUCGGAUUCGCUGAAGACUAACUUAUGCGAAAGCAUU